rnacentral:rRNA from 1 species
GGCCGGGCGACGGUUGUCCCGGUUUAAGCGUGUAGGUGUGUGUUCCAGGUAAAUCCGGUUCACUUUAACACUGAGGCGUGAUGACGAGGCACUACGGUGCUGAAGCAACAAAUGCCCUGCUUCCAGGAAAAGCCUCUAAGCAUCAGGUAACAUCAAAUCGUACCCCAAACCGACACAGGUGGUCAGGUAGAGAAUACCAAGGCGCUUGAGAGAACUCGGGUGAAGGAACUAGGCAAAAUGGUGCCGUAACUUCGGGAGAAGGCACGCUGACACGUAGGUGAAGUGAUUUACUCAUGGAGCUGAAGUCAGUCGAAGAUACCAGCUGGCUGCAACUGUUUAUUAAAAACACAGCACUGUGCAAACACGAAAGUGGACGUAUACGGUGUGACGCCUGCCCGGUGCCGGAAGGUUAAUUGAUGGGGUCAGCGCAAGCGAAGCUCCUGAUCGAAGCCCCGGUAAACGGCGGCCGUAACUAUAACGGUCCUAAGGUAGCGAAAUUCCUUGUCGGGUAAGUUCCGACCUGCACGAAUGGCGUAAUGAUGGCCAGGCUGUCUCCACCCGAGACUCAGUGAAAUUGAACUCGCUGUGAAGAUGCAGUGUACCCGCGGCAAGACGGAAAGACCCCGUGAACCUUUACUAUAGCUUGACACUGAACAUUGAGCCUUGAUGUGUAGGAUAGGUGGGAGGCUUUGAAGUGUGGACGCCAGUCUGCAUGGAGCCGACCUUGAAAUACCACCCUUUAAUGUUUGAUGUUCUAACGUGGACCCGUAAUCCGGGUUGCGGACAGUGUCUGGUGGGUAGUUUGACUGGGGCGGUCUCCUCCUAAAGAGUAACGGAGGAGCACGAAGGUUGGCUAAUCCUGGUCGGACAUCAGGAGGUUAGUGCAAUGGCAUAAGCCAGCUUGACUGCGAGCGUGACGGCGCGAGCAGGUGCGAAAGCAGGUCAUAGUGAUCCGGUGGUUCUGAAUGGAAGGGCCAUCGCUCAACGGAUAAAAGGUACUCCGGGGAUAACAGGCUGAUACCGCCCAAGAGUUCAUAUCGACGGCGGUGUUUGGCACCUCGAUGUCGGCUCAUCACAUCCUGGGGCUGAAGUAGGUCCCAAGGGUAUGGCUGUUCGCCAUUUAAAGUGGUACGCGAGCUGGGUUUAGAACGUCGUGAGACAGUUCGGUCCCUAUCUGCCGUGGGCGCUGGAGAACUGAGGGGGGCUGCUCCUAGUACGAGAGGACCGGAGUGGACGCAUCACUGGUGUUCGGGUUGUCAUGCCAAUGGCACUGCCCGGUAGCUAAAUGCGGAAGAGAUAAGUGCUGAAAGCAUCUAAGCACGAAACUUGCCCCGA